rnacentral:rRNA from 1 species
UACGGGGGGGGCAAGCGUUGUUCGGAAUUACUGGGCGUAAAGGGCUCGUAGGUGGCCAACUAAGUCAGACGUGAAAUCCCUCAGCUUAACUGGGGAACUGCGUCUGAUACUGGAUGGCUUGAGUUUGGGAGAGGGAUGCGGAAUUCCAGGUGUAGCGGUGAAAUGUGUAGAGAUCGGGAGGAACACCGGUGGCGAAGGCGGUUCUCUGGGCAUUACCUGACGCUGAGGAGCGAAAGUGUGGGGAGCGAACAGG